CGAGGAGAUAGCACAAGAGUGAAUACCUGAAAGUUUAUUUAUAGGGGACUGCCACCAUGACAAUACAUUAUUUUACAGUCUUCUCUCUGGAUUCUCCUGAUUAAUGUCCCUUCGUCAUGCACAAAAUCCCACACCCUCCCAAAGGUUUAUCACAUUAGGACAUCAUGUUGAAGUCCAAUAUAGCAUGUUGAAAUCAGUUCCAGAUUCAAAUGAAGUUUCGUUGCUAAAAUCCCUGUUGAUCUGCAGAACUAAGAACCUAAAAAUAAGUUAUGGUUCCUUACACACACAACACACAUGGAACAGGGGCAGGAUAAUUGGAAAAUUUUCUCCCAUUCCGAAAGGCAGGGAACACAACAGUCACUGGUCCAUUGUGAUUGUGAAGUGCAACUGGUGUUUUCAAGGUCCCUGACUGCAGGGGCAGAGAAUGUUUUCUGAUUAGAGCCCAGUUCUGCUCCCUGUGAUUGGUUCCCUGUGUCUUUUGGCUUUCUUACUAGUAUCUUGCCGCUGCACUCUUAGUCAUUCACUCUGUUUAUAAGAAUUGCAACUAGCAACAUGCUAGUUGCUAGUUUCAACAGCUGUCUGGAAACCUCUUUAAUUUGAUCAACAACGUUAUGAAGUGGUUUUUCUCUCUUCCAAGCUAUCACAGGCAGGAUUAUUGCCAAUUGCUCAGUACAUAACAUGUGUUGACCUUUUAGUAUCCCCAUUAACAAUUUCUUUACUGAUCUUCCAGCCUCUACUCACAAUCUCCAUGCUAUUCUUCAGCUUCUACCAUCUGUUCAAUCCCAAAGCAAAUAUCACAAGUUUUAACUUUUUGUUACGGCAACACCCAGUUAUUUGCUUACAGUUUCUACAAUCUGGAAAUCUGGAUGAGGUUCACUGGGUCAUUCUUUUCCUGUCUUAUCUGAGGUCACUCAUGCAACUGCAGUUAUUUGGAGGUUUAACAGAGCUGCAUGUCUAAGAUGGCUUCACUCAUGUAUAAUGCUUCAUCUGUUGUGUCUGAGGAGUCUAAUGUGGACACUGCUGGAGCAAGAUUUAAGCAUCACUUUUGAAAUUCAUGCUGCUGAGGAUGAUGAAAAUAUAUAUAGAUAUGGAUUCAUCUGGAACUUUGCUUUUAGAGAUGAUAAACAGGAAAAAUUACAGUGAGGCUUUAGGGAUUUUUGUAAUUUGCUUGAAUGAAUUUGAGACCUCUUGGUCAGCUAUGCAACUAAGACACAAUAAGCUGAUUUAAAAUAGAAUAAAUCUGUAUCUAGUCAUACUCCAUAUCUACUGAAUGAUGUAUAUUUAAAUUGAUGUAUAUUUAAAUUGCAUUUAAAUAACUUGUUAUGAUAUUUUAUCCAAAAAGUCGUACUACUGAAUGUUUGAAUUUGUGAUUCCUUUUUGCAUAAUAUUGUUAAGGCUUACCUGUAUCCAAAUUCUAGAAGCACAAAAGAGGGCAGUAGACUUUUACUCUUGCUGUAUGAACCAGGCUUAAAUAGAUAGAAAGAUUAUAUUAAGCAUGUUUGCUAAAAUUUAAAAGCAAACACGAAUAAUUUGGGUUGCUUUAUUAUACAUACUUCCUCCCCUCACUCAGCCUUCAUGGAAUUUUUAAUUCCAUGUUAGGGUCUUAUUCUGGAUUAGGCUGUGGCUUAAGGGAAUGUUAUGGCUGCUUUGACCUUCUGUCCAGAUCACUAAAACUCCUUCUCAACAAUAAGGCUGCUUUGCUUUGUUAUUCAUGUGUUCACUGGAGUAGUACUUUUUAUUCCUUGAAUAACUUGUUAUUUGCAAUCACAACUUGGCUAACUCUGGGGCAAGAAGCUUAGUUUUCACCUAUCUCAGCUUUCAAGGCCUUCCUCACUAAGUUUAAUCAUUUGUAGCUUUUGAUUUUAAGUAAGAGAAGUGUAUCUCUUCUUUUCACUUGACCAUUUAGAGGUCAUUGUAGGGUUAUUGGCUUAAUUUCAAUAUUGCCGUGUCUCAGAGACCCAAGGAGACAGAGAGAGAAGGGAGAAUGGCCAAAUUUUUAUUAAAUAUGUUUGUUGGAAACUUUCAAUUUAUCCUGUCUUUGAAAUAAUUUAAAUCUCAGCAAUAAUUUCCAGCUCUCAACCCAGCUAAUUAUUGACUGAACCCAUCUGUUCCUGGAAAUAUUAGUAUAUUGUUAAAUGUGUCAAGUAGCAACCAAGACAAAGAAAUCAUAGCUGUUGGCCGGCCUUCCAAGUUAUUGCAUAUUAAAAAGUUAUACCAAGGCUAUUACUGUUGUGUAAUAUAGAUUUUCAUCUAUCCAAAGCCUCCUGUUACACAUCACCUGUCCCCUGAUUGCUAAGUUAAUGUCACUUAUUUUAGAGUUUUGUUAUGGGUCUAUUCCAAUUACCAUGUGUGUAUGUAUAAACACACACACACACACACACACACACACACAUAUAUAUAGCCAUAUAUAGCCACUCAUAUAUAGCCAUAUAUAUGUAUACACACACGUGUGCUUUUUUUAUAUAUUUUAUAUAUAUAUAUGUAUAUGUUGGAGUUAAAAUAUUGUUUAAAAGCUGAGGUAACAGACAAAAAUUUCAAAGUCCAGAGCCUUACAAUGUAGAAGUUAGUUUUUCAUUCACGUUACAGUCUAAGGUUUGCUUGUUGUUGAGGGCUUUCCAUCAUACACAAAAUAAGGGAACUGUGCAUUUUCUUUCUCUAGCUCUGUUAUCACCUGUGGAUUUGUUGUUAUCUGUAUCCAAUGAGUAGAGCAUAUAUGUAUCCAAGAAAGAGAGCAUAUAUAGUAUACAAGUGCCUCUUAAAAAACUUGCCAUAGAAAUGACAUGUAUGUAAUCAACAAGGUAAAGGUUUUUAGUGUAAGGUUAAAUAUUGUCAUGUCAAGUAAUUACGGUAAUCAGGAUUUUUCUUUUUUGAACAGUAGGCAGGUAGUAAGCUAAGUUAUAUAUAUAUAUAUAGUGUAUAUAUCUUAGCAAUGUAAAUUAAAUUUGGGGCCUGAUUUUUAGAUUUUUAGCUGUGUCUUAUCUGGCUACAAAAGGCAAGACAUUUCUUUACAGCCUUCCUAAAUCUGUGGUUCUCUGAGGAUAUUUUGAUCUGAAAGAUUAAAGCCCAAAGCUUCUUACUUUUUUUUUCUGUAAACUCUCCAGCCCAGUCAGAAAUUGAUAUAUAUAUAUAUGCAUGUGUGUUCGUAUAUAUGUGUGUGUGUGUUUCAUAAAACCAGAUAUAAACCGAACUAAGUAUGCCAAAUUAAAGUUAUUUUUAUAAAUUCAAACCUUAUUCUCUUUAUAUAGAAAUAAAUAGUAUUCAACUAUUUUGAAGAAAAUGUGAUUAUUUUCAUAUAGAAACUAAAAAUAGCAACAGGGAACAUUUGUGGUAAACCUUCUGCAAUAACAGUUCAUGCAUUAUUUGAAGAAUAAUGUAUUUUACAUAAAUACAUUCAAAUUGUUUUUAAGAUAUCUUGUUGUCUCUUGUAAGAAAAUCAUCCCAGAUGUGGACAUAAACUCGGAUAUAACUUAUGGUGAUAUUGGAGGACAUUCGUAAUAUUUUUGAGUCCUUUGAGACAAUAGCUUUACAAAAAUUUAAGAAAUUACUGGUGUUCUCAGUUAUUCAUGUGGCCUUUUUAGGAAAUAAUACUUUUUGUACUCAGUUUUUUCCUUCCUUUGGCAUGUGAUACUAUCAAUUGAAAAUUUGACUUUUAUAAAUAGUUCUCCAUUAUGAUAUUAUGAAAACUUCUGGUAAGUUAUCGUUUUCAAUCUGAAAUUACUACAAACUAUUUUUUUAGAAUGAGUAUCAAUAAAUAAAUCAAUAUUAUUACUGGAAAUGGUAGUCUCAGUUUUACAGGGAACUGUAGAGUAGUGGUAAAUUUAAAGAGAUGGAGAUGUUCAGUUUCAAGUCACUGUAUACAAGGACUAUCAGCAUGAAAAGAAGCAUGCUGUACCAAAAAUAGAUGGGAACAUUGAGACCGUAAAAACAAGCUCUGCUUUUCUGCAGCAAUGGACAGAAAAAAGCAUGAUUUAUUCCCAUUAUUGGACAGUAUCAAAAGUGACUGCCAUAAAAAGUGAUGAAAACCUCUUGAAAGAUGGAAACACUGUUCUGUUGGACAGAGAUAACUAUUGUCUUGGAUAGAAUUCUUUAACUAGGAUUAUGGUAUAUUUGGUCUUUUUUAAAAUAAAUGACUAAUAUUCU
rnacentral:lncRNA from 1 species